UCAGGCCUAACACAUGCAAGUCGAGCGCGCCCUUCGGGGUGAGCGGCGGACGGGUUAGUAACGCGUGGGAAUAUACCCUUUGGUACGGAAUAGCCUCUGGAAACGGAGAGUAAUACCGUAUGUGCCCUUCGGGGGAAAGAUUUAUCGCCAAAGGAUUAGCCCGCGUUAGAUUAGGUAGUUGGUGGGGUAAUGGCCUACCAAGCCUACGAUCUAUAGCUGGUUUUAGAGGAUGAUCAGCAACACUGGGACUGAGACACGGCCCAGACUCCUACGGGAGGCAGCAGUGGGGAAUCUUGGACAAUGGGGGCAACCCUGAUCCAGCCAUGCCGCGUGAGUGAUGAAGGCCUUAGGGUCGUAAAGCUCUUUCGCCUGUGAAGAUAAUGACGGUAGCAGGUAAAGAAACCCCGGCUAACUCCGUGCCAGCAGCCGCGGUAAUACGGAGGGGGUUAGCGUUGUUCGGAAUUACUGGGCGUAAAGCGCACGUAGGCGGAUCGGAAAGUUGGGGGUGAAAUCCCGGGGCUCAACCCCGGAACUGCCUCCAAAACUAUCGGUCUAGAGUUCGAGAGAGGUGAGUGGAAUUCCGAGUGUAGAGGUGAAAUUCGUAGAUAUUCGGAGGAACACCAGUGGCGAAGGCGGCUCACUGGCUCGAUACUGACGCUGAGGUGCGAAAGUGUGGGGAGCAAACAGGAUUAGAUACCCU
rnacentral:rRNA from 1 species